rnacentral:lncRNA from 1 species
UUUACUCUUUUUUUUAUGACUUACCAUAUCACUAAUCCACUUGUUCUACCAUCUUUUCUUCAAUUAAUCUCAAAAAAAGCUACAAGAUGAACUGCAUCGAUUCUAUAUCAGAAGAGAAUUAUACCACCAACUACUUAGAACAUCCAAAUAAUCUUCUGAUUGAUCGAAUCUUGAUGUUCUUCCAUGAUGUUUCUUACACAAAUUUGGUGCCACAAACCCACUAUUCGUAGAACUGCACCAACCCCUUCUAAGGUGACAAGGACUAAUGGGGUUUUCCAUGAAGCUCCAGGAUAUCCUCACCAGCCAACACCACUACUCCCAUCAACAGUAUCUUCUGCAGAUCAUUUUCCCAUAUAAACCUACUAUUUUCAGAGCUGCACCAACUCCUUCCAAGGUGACUACGACUAAUGGGUUUUUCCCUGAAGCUCCAGGAUAUCCUGGCUAGCCAACACCAUAACUCCCAUCAACAGUAUCAUCUGCAGAAUAUUAUCCCGUAUAACAACCUAUUAUCUUGUUGAUAUCAUUUGACUGUUACACAAGUGACUUAACUCUUUGUCUACACUUUGCCCCCUCUUUGUCCAAAUGUUCACCACUAUACAACUCAUUUUUGCUGCCAAUAAAUAUCAGCCAGGUAGAAUAUUUUAGCCUCUUACUUGUUUUAGACCACCAACUGGAAGGCCAAAUACCGAUGACUUCCUGACACUGAUCUAUUUACUCAAUUUGCUAAUUGAUCGUUAAAGAAUGAGUCAAUCAGCAAUCUCUAAAUCUCAAAUUAGUUGAAGUGUGCUAUACGAAUCCUCUGCAUCCCAAAUUAAUCCAGUUAGUUAGACUGAAUAACUAGAUAAAUUCUCCUUUUACUCCAACUGCCAGACCUAAUACCUAUGAUUUCCCGACACUGCUGUUUUUACUCAGGUUACUAAUUGCUCGACAGAGUAAAUACAGGAUUAGUUCUCUUAGCUAGAUUAUGGUGUUGGUGAUUCCAGUUGCAUGAGUAAACAAUAAACUUCAUUGAACUGACUUCUUCAUUUUCGUAGAUAUACGAGUGUUGAAGAGAUGAAAUUGGUGCUAAUCUAUCUAAAAAUUUGCCUUUAUCUUUUGCCUUAUCGUCACUUUUCGUUUGGAAUUAGCUACCUUCUUCCUACUGCUUUCCUCACCACCUGUUACCAAAAAUUCCUUCUGCUUUAUGCAUAAUCUAUCACCAAAAGUUCUCCAGUAACACAAUCGACGUUUGCAGUGCUUAUUGGUUUGAAAAGCUCUUCUCUUUUCCUAUGGUUUAACCCUAGAUCCAUUUACCCUCUAAUAUUCUCAACUAUUGUUGGGCUUCUAUUGUUUCCUCCGGGAUCCAGGUAAAUUACAUAUUUGUGUGUUUAUCGAAGCUAAAUUUUCAGUUUUUGGAGCGUAAAACGAACAUAAAAUUGGCAAGAAAAAAAUCCAACCUUUGUUUUUGUGUUUCUACAAUUUUUGUUUGUUCCUUCUCCAUUGUGUUAUCAAAGCAAAAAUUCAGUCUUUAUAGAAGCACAAAAUGGGGAUAUAACACCUGAGAUCAUCUUUCAACUUUUGUUUUCAAUUGUCGCUUUGCAUUUAAAAUUCUUUUCUGUUGUUGCAAUUUUAACUUUACAUGAAGAAAUAAAAUCUUGUUAACAAUAUAUAGCUGUAUUUAAUUCUAUCCCUACAGUUGCAAGGUAAUUACUUGGUUAAAAUAACUAUUUCUUUUAAUGUACGAUGUUAUGUCUAUUAUGGAGAUUUUGAUCAACGCUUUCAAAUCGAUUAAAAGCUACAACAGAAUAGUUAAUCUAUCUUGAGCAUGCUUAGUAGCUAUAUUAGCAGAUACUACGCUACUGCUUUGAUAUGAUGAAAACAGGAGAACCAAAUUUUUGUUGCUACUAUCUAAUAUAUUAACCGUGAAAUUCAUUACUUCUCAAAAUCAUGUUGUCUGCUGCACUUGGGAUCAAGUUUUCGGCUGCCUUGGGUUGAUACUGUGGAGUCCAUACCUACUACAUUGAAUAAAAGAAAAAGAAAGAGGAGUGAUUGACUCACCUACUACAUUGAAUAAAAGGAAUAGGAGUGAUGGAUGGAAGAAAAACAACUUCAGAUUUUUCAAGAUUGGGCUGCUAGAAUUUGCACAUUGAUUAACCAAUCAAAUUGGUUUGGUUGGUGAAAAUGUGCCUAUAAAUAGCAGGCUUCAUUUCUCCUUUAAACACAACAAAAUAAGAGAGAAACAAUAAAAAUUAGAGAGAGUAAUCCACAGAUUGUUGUCUGUGAGAUAACUAGUGAGUGAUAGUAAUAUUGUAGUGAAGUGUUUUAUAUAAAGAGUGUUAUUUCUUUCAAACUUGUAGUAGUCUCUUGACACUACUGAGUUGUAAUAUUAU